GUGUAAGCGAAGCGAUAACGUGGAGCGGUGAAAGGCUCAGUAACGGGCGAUUUAUUUAAUCUCCUGGGGCGGACAACAUCGGGAAACUGAUGGGAAAACGCCUAAGUUGCAGUUUUCUGAUUGCGACGUAAACGAGUUGUGCAGGAGAAUAAGAUGCCAUCCUAUCAGUUAGUAAGUAGGGUAAGGGCCUACUUAGACGAAGACGGGUACGGGGAAUGAGGGUUUGAUUCCGGAGAGGGAGCCUGAGAGACGGCUACCAGGACCAAGGUCAGCAGCAGGCGCGAAAAUUAUCGAAGCCCGCCUAGGGGCGAUAGUGAGGAGACGUGUAUACGAAGUACGUGUAAAGAAUGUACUAAUAACUGGAGGUCAAGUCUGGUGCCAGCAUCCGCGGUAAUUCCAGCUCCAGGGGUGUCUAUGAUGAUUGCUGCGAUUAAAAAGUCCGUAGUCAAUCUGUCUGACUGGUCUGCAAUGUGAUUGAUUAAAGAACAAGCAGGACUAGGAAAGCAGAGAAUUAGGAGCGACCGGGGGCUAGAGUAUUGAAUGGCGAGAGGUGAAAUUUGAUGACCCAUUCAGGAGUGACAAAGGCGAAGGCACUAGUCAAGGGCGAAUCCGAUGAUCAAGGACGUAGGCUAGAGUUUCGAAAACGAUUAGAGACCGGAGUAGUUCUAGCAGUAAACUAUGCCGACGCCGUGGUAUUAAUUUAGUAUUGCGGAAGAGAAAUCAAGUAAGGCUUUGGGGAGAGUACGCGCGCAAGCGAUAAAUUUAAAGGAAAUUGACGGAGGAACACCACAAGGAGUGGAGUGUGCGGCUUAAUUUGACUCAACGCGGGACAGCUUACCAGGCCCGAUAAUCAUACGAGCGUAGUACGCGAUAGGUUAAAGAGUGGUGCAUGGCUGCUAUCGACAGUUGGGGUGACCUUAGGGUUAAUUCCGGCAAGUAGUGAGACCCCUGCAGAUAGUGGACAGGUAUUUAAGAUACAGGAAGGAAGGGACAAGAGCAGGUCAGUGAUGCCCUUAGAUGGCCUGGGCUGCACGCGCACUACAGUGGUCAUUAUAAUUUGUAGUUAGAUAUAAAGAUGAUCGAGAGGGACUGAGCUUUGUAAGAGGCUCACGAACGAGGAAUUGCUAGUAAUCGUAGGCUCA
rnacentral:rRNA from 1 species